UGGAGUUGCUGAUGAGUUUGGACCAUCAUCGGGGGGGUCGUCUCCGAAAAGUAGGAUGAAGUUCUUGUGUAGCUAUGGCGGUAAAAUCUUGCCGAGAACCGCCGAUGGCCAGCUUAAGUACGUCGGCGGCGAUACGCGUGUCAUUGCGGUUCCGAGAGAUAUUAGCUUCUCAGGUUUGGCACCUAGUUUGUACAUACAGCUCUAUUUCUCAUUAUACAUGUUUUCUAAUGUUCGUUUAGAACCCAUUGCUUAAGGCUUCAUUUGAAUUCUCACAUUUUUUAUUUCUUCUU
rnacentral:misc_RNA from 1 species